CCUACAACGCUAAAGCCACAGAUGCUCAGCUCUGCCUGGAGUCUUCACCAAGAGAAAACCCGUCUAUAUUUGUGCAUUCGCCUCAUGCGCUAAUGCUACAGGAUGUGAAGGCCAUCGUUACGCACUCCAUUCAUAGUGCCAUUCACUCCAUUGGUGGCAUCCAGGUGUUGUUUCCUCUCUUUGCACAGCUGGAUUUCCAUCAGCACAAUGAAAGCCAGGUGGAAACCACAGUGUGUUCAACUCUCCUGGCCUUCCUGAUGGAGCUACUCAAGAGCUCGGUGGCAAUGCAAGAGCAAAUGCUUG